UCGGGAAUUUUGGGCAAUGGGGGAAACCCUGACCCAGCAACGCCGCGUGAGUGACGAAGGUCUUCGGAUUGUAAAGCUCUUUUGGCGGGGACGAUAAUGACGGUACCCGCAGAAUAAGCCCCGGCUAACUUCGUGCCAGCAGCCGCGGUAAUACGAAGGGGGCUAGCGUUGUUCGGAAUUACUGGGCGUAAAGCGCACGUAGGUGGACUGAUAAGUCAGGGGUGAAAUCCCGGGGCUCAACCUCGGAACUGCCUUUGAUACUGUUAGUCUCGAGUCCGGAAGAGGUGAGUGGAAUUCCUAGUGUAGAGGUGAAAUUCGUAGAUAUUAGGAAGAACACCAGUGGCGAAGGCGGCCAACUGGCUCGAUACUGACGCUGAGGUGCGAAAGCGUGGGGAGCAAACAGGAUUAGAUACCCACGUAGUCCCUGAGCGGGC
rnacentral:rRNA from 1 species